rnacentral:misc_RNA from 1 species
UUUCCGUAGGUGAACCUGCGGAAGGAUCAUUCAUAAUAAGUGUUUUAUGGCACUUUUUUAAAUCCAUAUCCACCUUGUGUGCAAUGUCAGGGUUGAUUUUUCUCUCGAGAGGAUCGGCCCCAAACAUCAACUAUAUCUCAACUCUUUGUCUGAAAAAUAUUAUGAAUAAAACAAUUCAAAAUACAACUUUCAACAACGGAUCUCUUGGCUCUC